GUCUAUGGCCAUACCACCCUGAACAUGCCCUAUCUCAUUUGAUCUCAGAAGCUAAGCAGGGUCAGGCCUGGUUAGUACCUGGAUGGGAGAAUUCUGGUUACUGAGUCU
rnacentral:rRNA from 1 species